rnacentral:rRNA from 1 species
AAACAUCGCCUCUUGCAAAAUAUAAGAGGUCCAGCCUGCCCAGUGACUCUGUUCAACGGCCGCGGUAUCCUAACCGUGCGAAGGUAGCGUAAUCACUUGUUCUUUAAAUGCGGACUAGUAUGAAUGGCACCACGAGGGUUAUACUGUCUCCUUUCUCUAAUCAGUGAAACUGAUCUCCCCGUGAAGAAGCGGGGAUACACCUAUAAGACGAGAAGACCCUAUGGAGCUUUAAACAUAAUAGCAUUUGCCCUAUAACACAAAAAUUCCUGAAUCAUUAACACACCCGGCAAUAUGACUAUAAGUUUUUGGUUGGGGUGACCACGGAGUACAACACAACCUCCGUAUUGAAAGAAUAUUAUUCUAAGCUAAGAACUACGAAUCUAAGCAUCAAAACACUGACAUCUAUUGACCCAAUUCAAUUGAACAACGAACCAAGUUACCCUAGGGAUAACAGCGCAAUCCACUUCGAGAGCUCCUAUCGACAAGUGGGUUUACGACCUCGAUGUUGGAUCAGGGUCUCCCAGUGGUGCAGCCGCUACUAAUGGUUCGUUUGUUCAACGAUUAAAACCCUACGUGAU